GUUACAAGUCACCAGGGGCGACAAGUUCCCCUUUUUACGUAUUCUAGAUGCUUCUAAACGUCUCCUGGAUGAUUCCUGACUCUCCGGAGGCUACGGUGUCAUGGCAGAGCUCGGGACACAGACGGUUCAUCGCCAGCUGCGACUGCUUGGCCUGUAAGGUUGUGCAUCAGACGG